CGAUGGAGGGCAUUAAUCAUCCUUUCACACUGAUCUGCAGGAGCUGGACACUGGACUGUCCUGUAUAAAGAUUCUGCCUGUAAACUUAUUCUCACCUCGUAAAUGUGAAGCGCAGCACAUGAAGACAGCACAGCUCAGCAGGCCAAGGCUCUAUCCGUCGCUAUGGCGAUGGCCGCUUCCUCUUUCCACUGGGUCAUGGCAAGUUUCUACCCUUGAUAAGAAGCGCCCUCCUGAGGCAAGAAUGGAACUGCGUAUGGAGCGACGCCCAAUACCGAAGUGGAAGGCAAACGUACAAACUUCUCAGAGCAGGGGAAGUCGAAGAGCUUGACCAGACCAAAAUCAUCUCCUGUUACCACAUUGAGGCCAGCGUGCGAGACACAGGUCCCAUAUCCGGAUGGUCCCGUCAUCGCUGGCAGUGAUGAAGACGUCUUUGGCGGGCAUGCUGGAGGGAGAACGGCUCAGAGAGGGAGCGAGGGUGGAAUGAGGGGUAGGAGCGCUGGUUGGUGCUUCGAUUAAAAAGACGUCAUACCCUGAAGUCCCUGAGGAAAAUGUGCACUACUGUGAAGGU